UGCUAAUGAGCCUCUCCUUUGCUCCUCCCCCAGUCCCUCUUCCUGGAUAGCAAAAGGUACAGCCUCUACUGGGGGCUUGUUUCCUAGGAAGGAGAUGUCCCCACCCCCGGGGGUGGGGAGAAGGCUGUGUUUGGUGGUCCCUCUGAGCAGUGGCUACUCUGCACCAGAAAAACACCCUUGUUACCACACGGGAAGCAACCCGCGGCCUGUAAACCUGCUGUGAGAGUCUCUGCUCCCUUUUCUUUCAUGCAUUGGUUCAGGUGGUACGGACAAGAGCUAAAAACCACAUAGGAAAGUGGUAAGAGUUACUACAGCGGUGGGGACAGACGUGUAUAGUGGUGACCAUAGAGCGGGCGGGGAGACAGAGCUGAUGUGACGACCAAAUGCAAAUGAGGACACGCCCCCUUGCUCAAGACUGCCACCUGCUGUGAACAGUUGGAAAAGCAUUUUUUUGUGCGUCCCCAAUCCCAGGCCUCGCAGGGCUGGCUCUCCAGGACCUACCCACCUUGCUGAGGACCAGCAGCCGCUGCUUCUCUUUCUCAUUGGUGGCCAGGGAGGCGAACUGCUGCAGCUGCAGGGGCGUGGGCGGCGUGGUGAUGUCCAGGUAGUACUUGAAGGCCUGGAAGAUGGUGCAGGGUGGGAGGCGAGAUUCAUCCUUCCAAUUACUGAUGACACCUGGGGAGGCACAGCGGGGAUGAGGUUUCCUCCAGUCACUUAAGUCCUCACCACGGUCAUCACUCCGAGUGAGGAAAAGGAAGCACAGAGAGGUUAUGGAAUCUGUCCGAGGCCACACAGCUUUUGCGAGUGCGCGCGCGUGCAUGUGUGUGUUUGUGUGUGUGCGCGCGCAAACAUUCUGGUCUCACACUUUGCUCUAACUACACUGUGCCCUUGGCUCUCCAUGUCCACAACUUCUGCAUUUCAGAGCAUUUGAGAGGAACGAAAUCAAUGGAAAGAAAAAGUAAUCUCGUCUCUAUCAAA